GACGAACGCUGGCGGCGUGCUUAACACAUGCAAGUCGAACGGAAAGGCCCUGCUUUUGUGGGGUGCUCGAGUGGCGAACGGGUGAGUAACACGUGAGUAACCUGCCCUUGACUUUGGGAUAACUUCAGGAAACUGGGGCUAAUACCGGAUAGGAGUUCCUGCUGCAUGGUGGGGGUUGGAAAGUUUCGGCGGUUGGGGAUGGACUCGCGGCUUAUCAGCUUGUUGGUGGGGUAGUGGCUUACCAAGGCUUUGACGGGUAGCCGGCCUGAGAGGGUGACCGGCCACAUUGGGACUGAGAUACGGCCCAGACUCCUACGGGAGGCAGCAGUGGGGAAUAUUGCACAAUGGGCGGAAGCCUGAUGCAGCAACGCCGCGUGCGGGAUGACGGCCUUCGGGUUGUAAACCGCUGUCGCCUGUGACGAAGCGUGAGUGACGGUAAUGAGUAAAGAAGCACCGGCUAACUACGUG
rnacentral:rRNA from 1 species